UACGGAGGGUGCGAGCGUUGUCCGGAAUCACUGGGCGUAAAGGGCGCGUAGGCGGCCUGAUAAGUAGGGGGUGAAAUCCUGCGGCUUAACCGCAGGGCUGCCUUCUAAACUGUCAGGCUUGAGCACAGUAGAGGCAGGUGGAAUUCCCGGUGUAGCGGUGAAAUGCGCAGAUAUCUGGAGGAAUACCGGUGGCGAAGGCGGCAUCCUGGACCGAGAUUGACGCUGAGGAGCGAAAGCUAGGGGAGCAAACGGG
rnacentral:rRNA from 1 species